UGAAACUCGCCUACAUGAAGCUGGAGUUACUAGUAAUCGCAGAUCAGAAUGCUGCGGUGAAUGCGUUCCCGGGUCUUGUACACACCGCCCGUCACCCCACGGGAGUUGGAGACGCCCGAAGCCGAUUAUCUAACCUUUUGGAAGAAGUCGUCGAAGGUGGAAUCAAUAACUGGGGUGAAGUCGUAACAAGGUAGCCGUAUCGGAAGGUGCGGCUGGAUCACCUCCUUUCUAAG
rnacentral:rRNA from 1 species